rnacentral:tRNA from 1 species
UCUUCUUUAGCUUAAGAUUAAAGCAUUAGUUUGAAGAGCUGAUUAUAAUAUUUUUAUUGGGAAGAG